rnacentral:rRNA from 1 species
UACAGAGGGUGCAAGCGUUGUUCGGAAUUAUUGGGCGUAAAGCGCGUGUAGGCGGCUUUGCAAGUCGGGCGUGAAAUCCCAUGGCUCAACCAUGGAAGUGCACUCGAAACUGCAGAGCUAGAGUCCUGGAGAGGAAGGUGGAAUGCUUGGUGUAGAGGUGAAAUUCGUAGAUAUCAAGCGGAACACCGGUGGCGAAGGCGGCCUUCUGGACAGUGACUGACGCUGAGACGCGAAAGCGUGGGGAGCAAACAGG